rnacentral:rRNA from 1 species
GGCAGGCUUACACAUGCAAGUCGAGGGGCAGCAGAUCAUUUCGGCUCUGCUGACGAGUGGCGCACGGGUGCGUAACGCGUAUGCAACUUACCCCAAACUGGAGAAUAGCCUUUCGAAAGAAAGAAUAAUACUCCAUAGUAUUUCAAAGAGGCAUCUCUUUGUUCUUAAAGCUUCGGCGGUUUGGGAUGGGCAUGCGUUCUAUUAGUUAGUUGGUGAGGUAAUGGCUCACCAAGACCACGAUAGAUAGGGGGCCUGAGAGGGUUAUCCCCCACACUGGUACUGAGACACGGACCAGACUCCUACGGGAGGCAGCAGUGAGGAAUAUUGCACAAUGGACGAAAGUCUGAUGCAGCCAUGCCGCGUGCAGGAUGAAUGCCCUACGGGUUGUAAACUGCUUUUAUACAGGAAGAAACCCUCGAACGUGUUCGAGGCUGACGGUACUGUAAGAAUAAGGACCGGCUAACUCCGUGCCAGCAGCCGCGGUAAUACGGAGGGUCCAAGCGUUAUCCGGAUUUAUUGGGUUUAAAGGGUGCGUAGGCGGGCCUUUAAGUCAGUGGUGAAAUCCUGCAGCUUAACUGUAGAACUGCCAUUGAUACUGAAGGCCUUGAGUAUAGUUGAGGUAGGCGGAAUGUGUAAUGUAGCGGUGAAAUGCUUAGAUAUUACACAGAACACCGAUUGCGUAGGCAGCUUACUAAGCUAUAACUGACGCUGAUGCACGAAAGCGUGGGGAGCGAACAGGAUUAGAUACCCUGGUAGUCCACGCCGUAAACGAUGAUCACUCGUUGUUGGCGAUACACAGUCAGCGACUGAGCGAAAGCAUUAAGUGAUCCACCUGGGGAGUACGGUCGCAAGAUUGAAACUCAAAGGAAUUGACGGGGGCCCGCACAAGCGGAGGAACAUGUGGUUUAAUUCGAUGAUACGCGAGGAACCUUACCUGGGCUUAAAUGUAGAGUGCAUAAACGGGAAACUGUUUUUUUCCUUCGGGACAUUUACAAGGUGCUGCAUGGUUGUCGUCAGCUCGUGCCGUGAGGUGUCGGGUUAAGUCCCAUAACGAGCGCAACCCCUAUCGUUAGUUGCCAGCGAGUAAUGUCGGGGACUCUAACGAAACUGCCGGUGUAAGCCGAGAGGAAGGUGGGGAUGACGUCAAAUCAGCACGGCCCUUAUGUCCAGGGCUACACACGUGUUACAAUGGUCGGUACAAAGGGCAGCUACCUGGUGACAGGAUGCUAAUCUCUAAAACCGGUCUCAGUUCGGAUUGAAGUCUGCAACUCGACUUCAUGAAGCUGGAAUCGCUAGUAAUCGCGCAUCAGCCAUGGCGCGGUGAAUACGUUCCCGGGCCUUGUACACACCGCCCGUCAAGCCAUGGAAGCUGGGGGCACCUGAAGUCGGUAACCGUAAGGAGCCGCCUAAGGCAAAAACUAGUGACUGGGGCUAAGUCGUAA